rnacentral:rRNA from 1 species
GACGAACGCUGGCGGCGUGCUUAACACAUGCAAGUCGAGCGGUAAGGCCCUUUCGGGGGUACACGGGCGGCGAACGGGUGAGUAACACGUGGGUGACCUGCCCUUAGCUCUGGGAUAAGCCUGGGAAACUGGGUCUAAUACCGGAUAUGACUCCAUAACGCAUGUUGUGGGGUGGAAAGCCUUGUGCGGCUAGGGAUGGGCCCGCGGCCUAUCAGCUUGUUGGUGGGGUGAUGGCCACCAAGGCGACGACGGGUAGCCGGCCUGAGAGGGCGACCGGCCACACUGGGACUGAGACACGGCCCAGACUCCUACGGGAGGCAGCAGUGGGGAAUCUUGCGCAAUGGGCGAAAGCCUGACGCAGCGACGCCGCGUGGGGA